AGUGAACGCUGGCGGUAGGCCUAACACAUGCAAGUCGAACGGCAGCACAGUAAGAGCUUGCUCUUACGGGUGGCGAGUGGCGGACGGGUGAGGAAUACAUCGGAAUCUACUUUUUCGUGGGGGAUAACGUAGGGAAACUUACGCUAAUACCGCAUACGACCUACGGGUGAAAGCAGGGGAUCUUCGGACCUUGCGCGAUUGAAUGAGCCGAUGUCGGAUUAGCUAGUUGGCGGGGUAAAGGCCCACCAAGGCGACGAUCCGUAGCUGGUCUGAGAGGAUGAUCAGCCACACUGGAACUGAGACACGGUGCAGACUCCUACGGGAGGCAGCAGUGGGGAAUAUUGGACAAUGGGCGCAAGCCUGAUCCAGCCAUACCGCGUGAGUGAAGAAGGCCUUCGAGUUGUAAAGCCCUUUUGUUGGGAAAGAAAAGCAGCAGGUUAAUACCCCGCUGUUCUGACGGUACCCAAAGAAUAAGCACCGGCUAACUUCGUG
rnacentral:rRNA from 1 species